rnacentral:rRNA from 1 species
GACGAACGCUGGCGGCGUGCCUAAUACAUGCAAGUAGAACGCACAGUUUAUACCGUAGCUUGCUACACCAUAGACUGUGAGUUGCGAACGGGUGAGUAACGCGUAGGUAACCUGCCUGGUAGCGGGGGAUAACUAUUGGAAACGAUAGCUAAUACCGCAUAAUAUUAAUUAUUGCAUGAUAAUUAAUUGAAAGGUGCAAUUGCACCACUACCAGAUGGACCUGCGUUGUAUUAGCUAGUAGGUGAGGUAACGGCUCACCUAGGCGACGAUACAUAGCCGACCUGAGAGGGUGAUCGGCCACACUGGGACUGAGACACGGCCCAGACUCCUAAGGGAGGCAGCAGUAGGGAAUCUUCGGCAAUGGACGAAAGUCUGACCGAGCAACGCCGCGUGAGUGAAGAAGGUUUUCGGAUCGUAAAGCUCUGUUGUAAGAGAAGAACGGGUGUGAGAGUGGAAAGUUCACACUGUGACGGUAUCUUACCAGAAAGGGACGGCUAACUACGU